AGCCGGCAAAAAAGCAAAAAUCACACCCACAAGAGGUUGGAGGAGGGACUUUUUGCUCCACUCUCAAAGCAAAGUAAAUCCAGCCGCCUAAGCCGCGCCCAUCGAAUGGAGGCCGAACUGGGUACUAGGAGUGGGACUGGGCUUCCCGUAGUCGCCUCGAUGACAACACGCAAAAUGUAAAUGUUUGCUGUCAUUGAGUCGAAAAUGUUGGCAGGAGCCCAAACCAAACCGUUAAUAAACUCUCUAGGUGCACGAGGAAAUGGAGGCGGCGGUGGA
rnacentral:lncRNA from 1 species